UUGCACAAUGGGCGAAAGCCUGAUGCAGCAACGCCGCGUGAGUGAUGAAGGCCUUCGGGUUGUAAAGCUCUGUCUUUGGGGACGAUAAUGACGGUACCCAAGGAGGAAGCCACGGCUAACUACGUGCCAGCAGCCGCGGUAAUACGUAGGUGGCAAGCGUUAAUCGGAAUUACUGGGCGUAAAGGGUGCGCAGGCGGUCUUGCAAGUCAGAUGUGAAAGCCCCGGGCUUAACCUGGGAAUUGCGUUUGAAACUACAAGACUAGAGUGCAGCAGAGAGGAGUGGAAUUCCAUGUGUAGCAGUGAAAUGCGUAGAGAUGUGGAAGAACACCGAUGGCGAAGGCAGCUCCCUGGGUUGACACUGACGCUCAUGCACGAAAGCGUGGGGAGCAAACA
rnacentral:rRNA from 1 species